rnacentral:rRNA from 1 species
UACGUAGGGCGCAAGCGUUGUCCGGAAUUAUUGGGCGUAAAGAGCUCGUAGGCGGUGUGUCACGUCGGCCGUGAAAACCUGCAGCUUAACUGUGGGCGUGCGGUCGAUACGGGCGAUCACUGGAGUUCGGCAGGGGAGACUGGAAUUCCGUGGUGUAGCGGUGAAAUGCGCAGAUAUCAGGAGGAACACCGGUGGCGAAGGCG